rnacentral:siRNA from 1 species
UGAGCAUUCUGGAGCAAAACCGA